GCAGAUAUGGCUCAGUGGUAGAGUGCAUGAUUAGCAUGCACGAGGUCCUGGGUUCAAGCCCCAGUACCUCCA
rfam:Camelus ferus unplaced genomic scaffold scaffold638, whole genome shotgun sequence.